rnacentral:rRNA from 1 species
GAUGAACGCUGGCGGCGUGCCUAAUACAUGCAAGUCGAGCGAACGGACGAGAAGCUUGCUUCUCUGAUGUUAGCGGCGGACGGGUGUGUAACACGUGGAUAACCUACCUAUAAGACUGGGAUAACUUCGGGAAACCGGAGCUAAUACCGGAUAAUAUUUUGAACCGCAUGGUUCAAAAGUGAAAGACGGUCUUGCUGUCACUUAUAGAUGGAUCCGCGCUGCAUUAGCUAGUUGGUAAGGUAACGGCUUACCAAGGCAACGAUGCAUAGCCGACCUGAGAGGGUGAUCGGCCACACUGGAACUGAGACACGGUCCAGACUCCUACGGGAGGCAGCAGUAGGGAAUCUUCCGCAAUGGGCGAAAGCCUGACGGAGCAACGCCGCGUGAGUGAUGAAGGUCUUCGGAUCGUAAAACUCUGUUAUUAGGGAAGAACAUAUGUGUAAGUAACUGUGCACAUCUUGACGGUACCUAAUCAGAAAGCCACGGCUAACUACGUG